rnacentral:lncRNA from 1 species
AUGAAAUCUCCUGCUGUGUCCUCCAGCCGCUCCUCACAGCUCGGUGGUUUCUGCAGGGCCUGUCUGGAUGCGAUCGGUCUGUCCUGCACAACUGCCCGUCUCGGUGACUCGUGGGCAGAGUGUACCCACUCCUUCUUCAGCCAACUUUUCCAUGUUCAUGGCUGUGCCGGUGCCAGGAACUCCCUGAGGCAACACGAUGUGAGGGUCUCCUGUGGAGAAUUUCAGCCCUGUGAUCACCCGCAGAUAGCCAUCAGGCAUUGCUGUGAGGCACCUGUUCCAGCCAGAUUUGGAAGAUCUCAUCCGUGAGGACUGUAAAUGGACUUACCUUUUUAAAGAACACCCAAGACUGUGUGCCGUCAAGGCAUGGCAUCUCCAAAACUGACACAAAGCAGGUAGGUAAGGCCACCUAAGCCAGCCAAACAUGCUAUAAAAGCAAGUUAUAAAAAUAACAAAAUAUUAAGCCACAUGAUUUCUUCAAAUUUUAGCAAGUUUUAUGUGUGUGUAUGGUUGGCACUGCUCUGUUAUUCCUGCCAAGCACUCAAUUAGCACUUGAGUUAAUAAGAUGUUUUAAUAGCUGUUAAAUUAAUCAACAACUCUGACACUGCUUCCCAGUGUUUUCCACGGGAAAGACAUUCUUUCAGCCCAGUUUCUAUGUUAUCAGUGUCACUAAUUAUUUGUGUUUAUUCUCUUUACUACACUUAUUUGACUUCAUUUGAAAUUAGAUGCAGUGAUAGGGGAUGUGUUUUCUUAUUUUUCUGUAAUGUGCUGAAUAGAUGAGGAUUAGAGCUCCCAGCUAUGAGAAAAUGAGUACUCAUAAGCAUUUGUUCAAACAGAAAUCACAGAGCCUUUUUGACAACUGUCAUAAUCCCUUUGAUUUGCUCUUCGUCAGUGCUUUUGUGAGUUUGUUCACAGAAAUGUUUGCCAAAAUGAAAGUACUGCUAAUAGAGGUGAAAACAUGUAACAGCUCCGGAAUACUUGUGAAAAUGUUUGGGCUGACCUGUGCCGCAGCUAUUUUUUUUCUGGUGGUCUGACAGCAAUCCAGGCAGGAAAAAAACAAUAGUUUGGGGUUGAGCUCAUCAGUCCCUCAAAACAGCAAGUGUACUAAGAAUAGAAGGAAAACACCAAGUAGAAGAAAUUUACAAAUAACUGAAGUAUGUCCCCCAAACCAUGGAUUUAGAAUUGUUUCAUCUGGGAAAUGUUAAAGAACAAAAGCAAGCACAUGACCUGUGGGCAGUUCGCGGCUCUGCACCAGCCGGGUGAGGGGGACGGAAUCCCAUCGAGGCUGGGAGCGGGGUCGGUGCGCGAG